rnacentral:tRNA from 1 species
UCCCUGGUAGCUCAGACGGUAAAGCGUCUGCCUAUAAUGCAGGAGACCUGGGUUCGAUCUCUGGGUCGGGAA